GACGAACGCUGGCGGCGUGCUUAACACAUGCAAGUCGAACGGAAAGGCCUGCUUUCCCUUGUGGAUUGCGGGUACUCGAGUGGCGAACGGGUGAGUAACACGUGAGUGAUCUGCCCCCAACUUGGGUAUAAGCCUGGGAAACUGGGUCUAAUUCCCGAUAGGACUGCAGGGUGGUGCCUGUGGUGGAAAACGAUUUUCUAGUGGUUGGGGAUGAGCUCGCGGCCUAUCAGCUUGUUGGUGGGGUAAUGGCCUACCAAGGCGGCGACGGGUAGCCGGCCUGGGAGGGUGGACGGCAACAUUGGGACUGAGAUACGGCCCCGACUCCUACGGGAGGCAGCAGUGGGGAAUAUUGCACAAUGGGCGGAAGCCUGAUGCAGCGACGCCGCGUGGGGGAUGACGGCCUUCGGGUUGUAAACUCCUUUCGACCGCGAGGAAGCCACCUGGUUGGAAGGGUGGUGACGGUAGUGGUAGAAGAAGCACCGGCUAACUACGUG
rnacentral:rRNA from 1 species